rnacentral:snRNA from 1 species
GUUACCUCUAAGAUCAUGUGUAGUACCUGUUCUUAUCAGUUUAAUAUCUGAUAUGUCCAGUAAAAGUACAGAAGACACUCUCCCUCUGGAUAUUGUGAACAACAUAAAAACUGGAAACAAAUAUUACCUUAAGCAGGGACUGAACCCAC